AGAGGGUUGGGGAAGGCAGAAAGAGUGAAAGACUGACUUGGGUAUCCUGAGAAUGCGUUUUCAAUUUACCUAGUCAGAGUGUUCGUGGGAGAUACCCCUGGGGCCAGAGGGAACAGCAGGAUUGACAGAAAGGGGAAGGGUAGACUGACAGAAACAAAGAAACCCCAUCUUUUCUUCCCAUUCUUUUGUCAACCACGGUUGCAAAUACUGGAGGACUGGCUGCAGAGAGCAUUACCUCUUGUCUGUUUGACUCUAUCAUCAGUUUGAGUGUGGGCACGGGGAAGGGCACAGAGUUCGUGCCUCAGAUAGAAAGCAAGUGUUCCUCCAGGCGCCUGAUCUCGUCUCAGCUCUUUGCUAGCAGAGCCAAGACCCUCAUCUUCUAAUGACCAGCAUUAGGAAGAGAGAGUGGAAACCUAUAGGAAAAAGAACAAACGAAAAAGUCACAGAGCUGUGACUGCAUUAAUAACAUCUGGUGAGAUAAAAGGCAAGUAGCAAGUGGGGUUUGUUGCAUGUGGUGGUGCACGCCUGCUGUCAUAGUAUUUGGAAACUAAAGGCAGGGGGAUUAAAAAGAAUUCAAGGCCAGCCUGGGAUACAUAGCAAGAUCCUUUUUUUUUUUAAAGAAAAGUAAUGUUAUUUAUUUGUUUGUUUGUUUGUUUGUUUUACAUAAUCUUGAAUCUCACAGACAAAUUCAGGAUUAACUUUAGUCAAGACCACUCUGAUGCCAGCUUACCAAAGCUGCUAGCCAACAUCGUGGUGGUCUCCCAAUGAUUUUACUGCUCUACAUGAAGAGGAACAGCUUUGACCCCAACAGUCAUAUUAGUGUUUCUAAGAAAGACAAUGAAGUUCAUGGAGGAAGUAAGGGGGGUUGGGGGGCAGGUUGGUAUUUUGUUUGAGACAGGUCUCACUAUGUUGCUCUGUCUGGCCUGUAACUCACCGUGUAGACCAAGCAUCCUGAGUGCUGAUACAAACGGCGUGCACCUCCACAAUGAGCAGAAGUGUGCAUCUUUCAAGUGAGCAACAAAAGACAUGAGGAGUGGAGGCCGCCCUGAAGGCUGCUUUGACUGCAUUGUUAGUGGCUGUCCCUAGACAAGUGAAAGCCCCUGGACUGUGGGAAAGACUGUAACAGGAUAUUGAUAUUUAUUAAGUGUUGGAAAAGUAACGUAACAGUUGAAGCGAGGACUCCUCUGGCCCUCUGUGGACCUCCAUGAAGGAUGACUUUCAUGGCAAGCUGAAGACAGGUCUAUGUGACUCCAUGACACAUGGUGUCUAUGUAACUCCAGCUCACCUCCUUGCCUCCUAAGUCAAUGAACCAGCAGAUUGAACCCAAAGCUCCAUGGUUGUUUAGGCCCGAGCUGCGACUCUAUGGCGGAGACUUUGCACUCACAGAGUUCUGGGUUCAGUUUCCAGCGCUGAGCACACCCUGCUUUGUGCUGUGAAGAAACAUCACAAUUAAAGCAAAGUACGUGAAAGACAAUCGUUAUACACAGACUUAUUAAGCUCCCACCAGGGUAAAGAAACAGGUUUUUACCAGCAUCCCAGGAGCCUCCAGUAUAUCCCUUCCCAAACAACCUCCGCCUCUUAGAAAUAACCAUUGCAUUUAUGGUAAUUAGGACAUUGGUUUCUAAUAGCUCUGUAAAAUUGAAAAAAAAAUUUAUUCCAUUUUUCAAAAAUUAUGAUUGAGAUUCAAUUUUAUAAAUAUGUUGAAUUUUUAGAGGGUCGCAUGACUUCUGGUUUAAGUUUAUUAAUGUGAUGAAGUAUCUUUGCAUUACUAGUGUAAGACAAACCUAGUUGUAGUCAUUUCUUGUGGCUGAUGUAAUAAAUUUAAAACAAC
ensembl:lincRNA RIKEN cDNA 4833418N02 gene